GGUAUAGGGAGUAGGGUCAUGGGGUAGGGUUGAAGAGCAGUCAGGGAGUAUAUUAGAGGUAUAGGGAGUAGGGUCAUGGGGUAGGGUUGAAGAGCAGUCAGGGAGUAUAUUAGAGGUAUAGGGAGUAGGGUCAUGGGGUAGGGUUGAAGAGCAGUCAGGGAGUAUAUUAGAGGUAUAGGGAGUAGGGUCAUGGGGUAGGGUUGAAGAGCAGUCAGGGAGUAUAUUAGAGGUAUAGGGAGUAGGGUUGAAGAGAACAGUCAAGGAGUAUAUUAGAGGUAUAGGGAGUAGGGUCAUGGGGUAGGGUUGAAGAGCAGUCAGGGAGUAUAUUGGAGGUAUGGGGAGUAGGGUCAUGGGGUAGGGUUGAAGAGCAGUCAGGGAGUAUAUUAGAGGUAUGGGGAGUAGGGUCAUGGGGUAGGGUUGAAGAGCAGUCAGGGAGUAUAUUAGAGGUAUGGGGAGUAGGGUCAUGGGGUAGGGCUGAAGAGCACAGUUAGGGAGUAUAUUAGAUGUAUAGGGAGUAGGGUCAUGGGGUAGGGUUGAAGAGCACAGCCAGGGAGUAUAUUAGAGGUAUAGGGAGUAGGGUCAUGGGGUAGAGUUGAAGAGCAGUCAGGGAGUAUAUUAGAGGUAUGGGGAGUAGGGUCAUGGGGUAGGGUUGAAGAGCAGUCAGGGAGUAUAUUAGAGGUAUGGGGAGUAGGGUCAUGGGGUAGGGUUGAAGAGCAGUCAGGAGUAUAUUAGAGGUAUGGGGAGUAGGGUCAUGGGGUAGGGUUGAAGAGCACAGCCAGGGAGUAUAUUAGAGGUAUGGGGAGUAGGGUCAUGGGGUAGGGUUGAAGAGCAGUCAGGGAGUAUAUUAGAGGUAUGGGGAGUAGGGUCAUGGGGUAGGGUUGAAGAGCAGUCAGGGAGUAUAUUAGAGGUAUAGGGAGUAGAGUCAUGGGGUAGGGUUGAAGAGCAGUCAGGGAGUAUAUUAGAGGUAUAGGGAGUAGGGUCAUGGGGUAGCGUUGAAGAGCAGUCAGGGAGUAUAUUAGAGGUAUAGGGAGUAGGGUCAUGGGGUAGGGUUGAAGAGCAGUCAGGGAGUAUAUUAGAGGUAUAGGGAGUAGGGUCAUGGGGUAGGGUUGAAGAGCAGUCAGGGAGUAUAUUAGAGGUAUAGGGAGUAGGGUCAUGGGGUAGGGUUGAAGAGCAGUCAGGGAGUAUAUUAGAGGUAUAGGGAGUAGGGUUGAAGAGAACAGUCAGGGAGUAUAUUAGAGGUAUAGGGAGUAGGGUCAUGGGGUAGGGUUGAAGAGCAGUCAGGGAGUAUAUUAGAGGUAUGGGGAGUAGGGUCAUGGGGUAGGGUUGAAGAGCAGUCAGGGAGUAUAUUAGAGGUAUGGGGAGUAGGGUCAUGGGGUAGGGCUGAAGAGCACAGUUAGGGAGUAUAUUAGAUGUAUAGGGAGUAGGGUCAUGGGGUAGGGUUGAAGAGCACAGCCAGGGAGUAUAUUAGAGGUAUAGGGAGUAGGGUCAUGGGGUAGGGUUGAAGAGCAGUCAGGGAGUAUAUUAGAGGUAUAGGGAGUAGGGUCAUGGGGUAGGGCUGAAAAGCAGUCAGGGAGUAUAUUAGAGGUAUAGGGAGUAAGGUCAUGGGGUGGGGUUGAAGAGCAGUCAGGGAGUAUAUUAGAGGUAUAGGGAGUAGGGUCAUGGGGUAGGGUUGAAGAGCAGUCAGGGAGUAUAUUAGAGGUAUAGGGAGUAGGGUCAUGGGGUAGGGUUGAAGAGCAGUCAGGGAGUAUAUUAGAGGUAUGGGGAGUAGGGUCAUGGGGUAGGGUUGAAGAGCAGUCAGGGAGUAUAUUAGAGGUAUAGGGAGUAGAGUCAUGGGGUAGGGUUGAAGAGCAGUCAGGGAGUAUAUUAGAGGUAUAGGGAGUAGGGUCAUGGGGUAGGGUUGAAGAGCAGUCAGGGAGUAUAUUAGAGGUAUAGGGAGUAGGGUCAUGGGGUAGGGUUGAAGAGCAGUCAGGGAGUAUAUUAGAGGUAUAGGGAGUAGGGUCAUGGGGUAGGGUUGAAGAGCAGUCAGGGAGUAUAUUAGAGGUAUAGGGAGUAGGGUUGAAGAGAACAGUCAGGGAGUAUAUUAGAGGUAUAGGGAGUAGGGUCAUGGGGUAGGGUUGAAGAGUAGUCAGGGAGUAUAUUAGAGGUAUAGGGAGUAGGGUCAUGGGGUAGGGUUGAAGAGUAGUCAGGGAGUAUAUUAGAGGUAUAGGGAGUAGGGUCAUGGGGUAGGGCUGAAGAGCACAGUCGGUGGGAGUAUAUUAGAGGUAUGGGGAGUAGGGUCAUGGGGUAGGGUUGAAGAGCAGUCAGGGAGUAUAUUAGAGGUAUAGGGAGUAGGGCCAUGGGGUAGGGAUGAAGAGCAGUCAGGGAGUAUAUUAGAGGUAUAGGGAGUAGGGCCAUGGGGUAGGGAUGAAGAGCAGUCAGGGAGUAUAUUAGAGGUAUAGGGAGUAGGGUCAUGGGGUAGGGUUGAAGAGCAGUCAGGGAGUAUAUUAGAGGUAUAGGGAGUAGGGUCAUGGGGUAGGGUUGAAGAGCAGUCAGGGAGUAUAUUAGAGGUAUAGGGAGUAGGGUCAUGGGGUAGGGAUGAAGAGCAGUCAGGGAGUAUAUUAGAGGUAUAGGGAGUAGGGUCAUGGGGUAGGGUUGAAGAGCAGUCAGGGAGUAUAUUAGAGGUAUAGGGAGUAGGGUCAUGGGGUAGGGUUGAAGAGCAGUCAGGGAGUAUAUUAGAGGUAUGGGGAGUAGGGUCAUGGGGUAGGGUUGAAGAGCAGUCAGGGAGUAUAUUAGAGGUAUAGGGAGUAGAGUCAUGGGGUAGGGUUGAAGAGCAGUCAGGGAGUAUAUUAGAGGUAUAGGGAGUAGGGUCAUGGGGUAGGGUUGAAGAGCAGUCAGGGAGUAUAUUAGAGGUAUAGGGAGUAGGGUCAUGGGGUAGGGUUGAAGAGCAGUCAGGGAGUAUAUUAGAGGUAUAGGGAGUAGGGUCAUGGGGUAGGGUUGAAGAGCAGUCAGGGAGUAUAUUAGAGGUAUAGGGAGUAGGGUUGAAGAGAACAGUCAGGGAGUAUAUUAGAGGUAUAGGGAGUAGGGUCAUGGGGUAGGGUUGAAGAGCAGUCAGGGAGUAUAUUAGAGGUAUGGGGAGUAGGGUCAUGGGGUAGGGUUGAAGAACAGUCAGGGAGUAUAUUAGAGGUAUGGGGAGUAGGGUCAUGGGGUAGGGCUGAAGAGCACAGUUAGGGAGUAUAUUAGAGGUAUAGGGAGUAGGGUCAUGGGGUAGGGUUGAAGAGCAGUCAGGGAGUAUAUUAGAGGUAUAGGGAGUAGGGUCAUGGGGUAGGGCUGAAAAGCAGUCAGGGAGUAUAUUAGAGGUAUAGGGAGUAAGGUCAUGGGGUGGGGUUGAAGAGCAGUCAGGGAGUAUAUUAGAGGUAUAGGGAGUAGGGUCAUGGGGUAGGGUUGAAGAGCAGUCAGGGAGUAUAUUAGAGGUAUAGGGAGUAGGGUCAUGGGGUAGGGUUGAAGAGUAGUCAGGGAGUAUAUUAGAGGUAUAGGGAGUAGGGUCAUGGGGUAGGGUUGAAGAGCAGUCAGGGAGUAUAUUAGAGGUAUAGGGAGUAGGGUCAUGGGGUAGGGUUGAAGAGCAGUCAGGGAGUAUAUUAGAGGUAUAGGGAGUAGGGUCAUGGGGUAGGGUUGAAGAGCAGUCAGGGAGUAUAUUAGAGGUAUAGGGAGUAGGGUCAUGGGGUAGGGUUGAAGAGCAGUCAGGGAGUAUAUUAGAGGUAUAGGGAGUAGGGUUGAAGAGAACAGUCAGGGAGUAUAUUAGAGGUAUAGGGAGUAGGGUCAUGGGGUAGGGUUGAAGAGUAGUCAGGGAGUAUAUUAGAGGUAUAGGGAGUAGGGUCAUGGGGUAGGGUUGAAGAGUAGUCAGGGAGUAUAUUAGAGGUAUGGGGAGUAGGGUCAUGGGGUAGGGAUGAAGAGCAGUCAGGGAGUAUAUUAGAGGUAUAGGGAGUAGGGUCAUGGGGUAGGGUUGAAGAGUAGUCAGGGAGUAUAUUAGAGGUAUAGGGAGUAGGGUCAUGGGGUAGGGCUGAAGAGCACAGUCGGUGGGAGUAUAUUAGAGGUAUGGGGAGUAGGGUCAUGGGGUAGGGUUGAAGAGCAGUCAGGGAGUAUAUUAGAGGUAUAGGGAGUAGGGCCAUGGGGUAGGGAUGAAGAGCAGUCAGGGAGUAUAUUAGAGGUAUAGGGAGUAGGGCCAUGGGGUAGGGAUGAAGAGCAGUCAGGGAGUAUAUUAGAGGUAUAGGGAGUAGGGUCAUGGGGUAGGGUUGAAGAGCAGUCAGGGAGUAUAUUAGAGGCAUAGGGAGUAGGGUCAUGGGGUAGGGUUGAAGAGCAGUCAGGGAGUAUAUUAGAGGUAUAGGGAGUAGGGCCAUGGGGUAGGGUUGAAGAGCACAGUCAGGGAGUAUAUUAGAGGUAUGGGGAGUAGGGUCAUGGGGUAGGGAUGAAGAGCAGUCAGGGAGUAUAUUAGAGGUAUAGGGAGUAGGGUCAUGGGGUAGGGUUGAAGAGCAGUCAGGGAGUAUAUUAGAGGAGUAGGGAGUAGGGUCAUGGGGUAGGAUUGAAGAGCAGUCAGGGAGUAUAUUAGAGGUAUAGGGAGUAGGGUCAUGGGGUAGGGUUGAAGAGCAGUCAGGGAGUAUAUUAGUCAGGGCUUCCCUCAACCCCCACCCCUCCUCCCAUGUCAAAGAGGCAUGUAAUACCUACUCACAGACACACACGCUUUAGCCCUGGCAUAGUAGCACUGUCUCCAACCAACAGGCCUGGUAGUAACCUAGUGUUGUGACUGCAGACUGCAGUAACAGUUUGUGAAGGGAUGACUGCUGUAUGACUAGGACACCUCAGUACAUGAUGAACCACUCUCUGGGUGGUGGAAGGUCAGUAUGCACUUACUGAGUACAUGCCUUAUGCUAGCAUCAAAUAGGCUUCACAAAAAUAACAUAGUCGCUGUCGUAUAACAUUUAUUUUGAUUGCAGACUUUCUGCAUUUAUCCCAUCAAGUAGCCUGAUUUCAGAUGUGUCAAUGUAAACAGCUCUUCUUGCAAAGCAUGUUGACAUUUUAAAUCAAACUAUUUGGGCUAUAUUAAUCCAACUAUCCACAAUAAUCAUACACCGAGUAUACCAAACAUUACGAACACCUUCCUAAUAUUGAAUUGCACCCCCCCUUGCCCUUACAACAGCCUAAAUUUGUCAGGGCAUAGACUCUACAGGGUGUUGAAAACGUUCCACAGGGAAUCUCGCCCAUGUUGACUUCAAUGCUUCCCACAGUUAUGUCAAGUUAGCUGGAGGUCCAUUGGGUGGUUCCUGAUACACACAGGAAACGGUUGAUUGUGAAAAACCCAGAAGCAUUGCAAUUCUUGACAAAAACCAUACCCUGUUCAAAGGCACUUAAAUAUUUGUCUUGCCCAUUCACCCUCUGAAUGGCUCACAUACACAAUCUAUGUAUCAAUUGUUUCGAUGCUUAACAAUCCUUCUUUAACCGGUCUCCUCCCCUUCAUCUACACUGAUUGAAGUAGAUUUAACAAGUGAAAUCAAUAAGGGACCUUAGCUUUCACCUGGUCAGUCUAUUUCAUGGAAAGAGCAGCUGUUCUUAAUGUUUUGUAUACUCAGUGUAUUAUUGCGUGCAUGUAUCCGUACUCACUGUUUGCUUUCUGUACAUUUAGAACAGGUUAAGAAGGAGCAAUGGGACUGAGUGUAGACUACUGCAGAAUACUGUACAUUAUUCAAGCUCCACUCAGGCUCUCAUACAGGUUUCCUAUUCAAGAUUUGACACAAAAGUAGAUACGAGCUAUAAUAGGACACUAAAUAUACCUCAAGCACAUGGAGAAGUGCCAAGAGAAAAAUUACCUCACUGUA